CUUAAAUGCAGAAUUACAUUUGUAGUAAUACAAACCAUGUUAAUAAUUCUCUUUUAUUAAGACCCUACUAUGUUCCUGACACUUUAUACUCAUUUUCUCUAUCAAUCCUCAUUACAACCUUUUAAGGUAACAUUUCUGCUUCAUCUUACAGACAGGAAAAUAGAGUUUCACCAUUCCUCUCUUCUGAGCUCCUCUCUGGCCAGCUUUAACUCAUCGAUUGGUUCUGCCACCCGCAACGUUGGCUCCAAAGGCCUGUAGCGUUGUUCUAAUACUUCGGUGAUAUCUCGGAAGGGCCCCUGACAAGACAGGAUGAGGAACAUAUUUUAUAUGGAAGAUUUUUUUUGAGAUACCUAGAUCAUCCAAGACUCAACUUGACACUACAGGUAUUUCUGGACUCUUAGCUAUGUUUUUUUAAUGUUU
rnacentral:lncRNA from 1 species